rnacentral:tRNA from 1 species
GUUUAAUUAGUAUAAAUAGUACAAUUAAUUUCCAAUUAAUAAGUUUAAAAUAAAUUAAGCA